CAUUCCAGUUCUUUCGGAUUCGUUCGUGGGGAAAAAGAAAACCACCCGAUAAAAGGAGUCGCUCCCCGGGCUCCAGGGUUUCCCGCGCUGCGGAAUCCGAAAUCUUCCCGCUUUCUUGACCGUCCGGGAAACCCUAACCUAAAGAUCCUUCCCCUUCUCCAAACCGUUAAGCCUAAUCAGAUCUCGGUCGAGAUCGAAUCAGGAAGAGGAGGAGGGAGAACAAGAAGAAAGGGAAGAAGGAGUAGGACGAAGAUGUCGAUGUCGAAGAGCUCCAAAAUGCUGCAAUUCAUCAACUACAGGAUGAGGGUCACGAUCCAGGACGGCCGGCAGCUUGUUGGAAAAUUCAUGGCCUUUGAUCGCCAUAUGAACCUCGUGCUCGGCGACUGCGAGGAAUUCCGGCGUCUCCCUCCGGUGAAGGGCCAGAAGGGGGAGGAGCGCGAGGACCGCCGGACACUUGGCCUCGUCCUCCUGCGUGGUGAAGAGGUCAUCUCCAUGACCGUCGAGGGCCCUCCUCCGCCGGAGGAAUCACGGGCCAAGUCCGUCGUCGCCGGUGCUGGUCCUGGCAUAGGCCGCGCGGCCGGUCGAGGCGUCCCGACCGCACACCUUGUUCAAGCGCAGCCUGGCCUCGCCGGUCCCGUCCGGGGGGUUGGUGGCCCGGCCCCUGGCAUGAUGCAGCCGCAAAUCUCACGCCCGCCGGUUUCAUACCCACAACCUGCUCCCCCUCCCGGAAUACGGAUGGCAGGAAUCCCCGGUCAGCCUCCCCAUGCGUUGCCACGGCCGCCGCUGCCGCAGUUCCCGGUGAGGCCUGGCAUGCCACCGCCUAUUCCGGGAGGUGGUCCUGGGAUGCCCCCUCCGCAGCCAGCGGGCGUUCGCCCAGUGGUUCCGCCUCCUCCGCAGGUCAUGAGGUUCCCUCCGCCCCCUAUGCGGCCUGGAGUGGUGCCGCCUCCACCUCGGCCGGGGAUGCCGCCUCCAGCGGGAACUGUUCCUGUGUUUGCACCGCCUCGGCCUGGCGGUCCUCCCCCGCCCCCCAACCAGUAGCACCAAUGAUGAUAGUUGGAUUAUCGGUCUCCACUUUGCGGCUGCAGAAUUCAACUGACUUGGACCGGCUUGAGCUCCCUAGUCUGGACUAGCCCCUUUUGGGCCUUCACCGACCUGCGCCAGGUUUUUUAUUUUGACAGCUUAGGGUAUAUGGAAUGACUAAUGGAACAAUUUUGUACUGGUUGACCUAGCUGGUUGUUGGCCUAUGUUACUACUAUUGUUUCCUUUUCUUACCGUUGAGUUAGAUGCAAGCGUCUUUUCUUUUGUCUCAAGAAAGUAUGUGUUUUCGGGUAUAGUGACAAGCUUGAAAAUGAAUUGAGGAAUAAGGAUUGUUGGAGUCAUAGCCCCAUAGGAAUACGUACCUAAAAGAAAGAUCCAUAGGACUUGAUUAUUCUUAUUUUUUUGCUGAACGUUGAAGGCAUGAAAUUUCUGGUACUGCCAAAUUGGCUGAGCUCUUGACCUGGAGUUGGCUUUUAUUUAAGGUUCUUACCUUGGGUUGAUCUUGUUUGGCUGUUUCCAAGUUAUGCAAUGUCCUUGAAGUACUGUAUUUGACAGUGCUCCAUAUGGCGCAAAUUGAUAUGGACGUCCAGCUGGUUUUUGAUAGGCAUAAUAU